AGUUGGGUGGCGAAGUGGUAACGCGACGCACUGUUAAUGCGUUUAUCCGUGGGUUCGAAUCCCACCCCAACUG
rnacentral:tRNA from 1 species